rnacentral:rRNA from 1 species
UUAAGUGACUAAGCGUACACGGUGGAUGCCUUGGCAGUCAGAGGCGAUGAAAGACGUAGUAACUUGCGAUAAGCCCAGAUUAGGUAGUAACAACCAUUUGAGUCUGGGAUUUCUGAAUGGGGAAACCCACGUGCAUAAGCACGUAUCCUUACCUGAAUACAUAGGGUAAGGAGGCGAACCGGGGGAACUGAAACAUCUAAGUACCCCGAGGAAAAGAAAUCAACCGAGAUUCCGAAAGUAGCGGCGAGCGAAAUUGGACUAGCCCUUAAGCUUUACACGCGUUAGACGAACGGUCUGGAAAGUCCGACGAUACAGGGUGAUAGUCCCGUAGUUGACGACGUGUGUUCAGUGAAAUCGAGUAGGGCGGGACACGUGAUAUCCUGUCUGAAUAUGGGGGGACCAUCCUCCAAGGCUAAAUACUACUGACUGACCGAUAGUGAACCAGUACCGUGAGGGAAAGGCGAAAAGAACCCCUGUGAGGGGAGUGAAAUAGAACCUGAAACCGUGUACGUACAAGCAGUAGGAGCAGGCUUUGUCCUGUGACUGCGUACCUUUUGUAUAAUGGGUCAGCGACUUAUAUUCAGUGGCAAGGUUAACCAUCUAGGGGAGCCGUAGGGAAACCGAGUCUUAACUGGGCGUUCAGUCUCUGGAUAUAGACCCGAAACCAGGUGAUCUAGCCAUGGGCAGGUUGAAGGUUGAGUAACAUCAACUGGAGGACCGAACCGACUAAUGUUGAAAAAUUAGCGGAUGACUUGUGGCUAGGGGUGAAAGGCCAAUCAAACCUGGAGAUAGCUGGUUCUCCCCGAAAGCUAUUUAGGUAGCGCCUCGGACGAAUACUACUGGGGGUAGAGCACUGUUAAGGCUAGGGGGUCAUCCCGACUUACCAACCCUUUGCAAACUCCGAAUACCAGUAAGUACUAUCCGGGAGACACACGGCGGGUGCUAACGUCCAUCGUGGAGAGGGAAACAACCCAGACCGCCAGCUAAGGUCCCAAAUUACUACUAAGUGGGAAACGAUGUGGGAAGGCUCAGACAGCCAGGAUGUUGGCUUAGAAGCAGCCAUCAUUUAAAGAAAGCGUAAUAGCUCACUGGUCGAGUCGGCCUGCGCGGAAGAUGUAACGGGGCUAAGUAGUAAACCGAAGCUGCGGCAAUAUACUUUUGUAUAUUGGGUAGGGGAGCGUUCUGUAAGCGGUUGAAGGUGUGUGGUAACGCAUGCUGGACGUAUCAGAAGUGCGAAUGCUGACAUGAGUAACGAUAAAGGGGGUGAAAAACCUCCUCGCCGGAAGACCAAGGGUUCCUGUCCAACGUUAAUCGGGGCAGGGUAAGUCGACCCCUAAGGCGAGGCCGAAAGGCGUAGUCGAUGGGAAACGGGUUAAUAUUCCCGUACUUCUUACAAUUGCGAUGGGGGGACGGAGAAGGCUAGGUGGGCCUGGCGACGGUUGUCCAGGUUCAAGUGCGUAGGCUUGAGAGUUAGGUAAAUCCGGCUCUCUUUAAGGCUGAGACACGACGUCGAGCAUCUACGGAUGUGAAGUCAUUGAUGCCAUGCUUCCAGGAAAAGCCUCUAAGCUUCAGAUUGUAAGGAAUCGUACCCCAAACCGACACAGGUGGUCGGGUAGAGAAUACCAAGGCGCUUGAGAGAACUCGGGUGAAGGAACUAGGCAAAAUGGUACCGUAACUUCGGGAGAAGGUACGCUCUCGACGGUGAAGUCCCUUGCGGAUGGAGCUAUUGAGAGUCGCAGAUACCAGGUGGCUGCAACUGUUUAUUAAAAACACAGCACUGUGCAAAAUCGUAAGAUGACGUAUACGGUGUGACGCCUGCCCGGUGCCGGAAGGUUAAUUGAUGGGGUUAGACUUCGGUCGAAGCUCUUGAUCGAAGCCCCGGUAAACGGCGGCCGUAACUAUAACGGUCCUAAGGUAGCGAAAUUCCUUGUCGGGUAAGUUCCGACCUGCACGAAUGGCGUAAUGAUGGCCACGCUGUCUCCACCCGAGACUCAGUGAAAUUGAAAUCGCUGUGAAGAUGCAGUGUACCCGCGGCUAGACGGAAAGACCCCGUGAACCUUUACUACAGCUUGGCACUGAACAUUGACCCUACAUGUGUAGGAUAGGUGGGAGGCUUUGAAGCACGUACGCCAGUAUGUGUGGAGCCGUCCUUGAAAUACCACCCUUGUAGUGUUGAUGUUCUAACGUCGACCCCUAAUCGGGGUUGCGGACAGUGCCUGGUGGGUAGUUUGACUGGGGCGGUCUCCUCCCAAAGAGUAACGGAGGAGCACGAAGGUGGGCUAAUCACGGUUGGACAUCGUGAGGUUAGUGCAAUGGCAUAAGCCCGCUUGACUGCGAGAAUGACAAUUCGAGCAGGUGCGAAAGCAGGUCAUAGUGAUCCGGUGGUUCUGAAUGGAAGGGCCAUCGCUCAACGGAUAAAAGGUACUCCGGGGAUAACAGGCUGAUACCGCCUAAGAGUUCAUAUCGACGGCGGUGUUUGGCACCUCGAUGUCGGCUCAUCACAUCCUGGGGCUGAAGUCGGUCCCAAGGGUAUGGCUGUUCGCCAUUUAAAGUGGUACGCGAGCUGGGUUUAGAACGUCGUGAGACAGUUCGGUCCCUAUCUGCCGUGGGCGUUGGAAGAUUGAAGGGGGCUGCUCCUAGUACGAGAGGACCGGAGUGGACGAACCUCUGGUGUUCGGGUUGUGUCGCCAGACGCAUUGCCCGGUAGCUAAGUUCGGAAUCGAUAACCGCUGAAAGCAUCUAAGCGGGAAGCGAGCCCUGAGAUGAGUCUUCCCUGAUACUUUAAGUAUCCUAAAGGGUUGUCGGAGACUACGACGUUGAUAGGUCAGGUGUGUAAGUGCUGUGAGGCAUUGAGCUAACUGAUACUAAUUGCCCGUGAGGCUUAACCAU